UUGAUUUUUUUGGGGAAAGCCCUUAUGUAUACGUACACUUUGGUUCAAGUUUGAAAAAAAUCGGCCGAGUCAAUCCUGAGAAAAAAAUUAAAAACGAUUUUCGAUUUUUGAGGAAUUACUCAAGAACCACUCAGAGUUGAGGUCCAAAACUUGGGGAAAAUACUUAUCUUGGGGGUACCUAUACACCACAUGAGUUUCAUCUCUGAAGGUCCCGGGGGCCGCUCGACCAUACUUAUCUGCCUAGGGCCUUUUCUAAAUUUCUGAUUUUUUAAAAACCCAACUCAAGUAUUAGGUAACAAAAAAUUAGAAUUUCCAAAAUUGGAAAAAAGCGAAAUCUUUUGGCUUGUGUAAGGUACUUACGUUUUUUGCAAUUUUUAGGAAAAAACUUGGACUUUUGAGUUUUGAGUAAUUAUUGAAAAUGGCAACAAAGCGAGCCAGAAUGUUUGCAAAUUUGAAAUUUCUGACCAAGAAAAAAUUGACAAAAAGCAAGACUGUAACUGUGUAAAUUAAAAAUUCAAUUUUAACACUGGCCGAUUUUUUGGAAUUUUUUCAUUUUUGCAAAAUAAAAAAUUGUUUGGCACCUUUCCUAAAAAAUAACAAUUACAUUCUUUUUUCAAUUUUAGAAAAAGCAAGAAUUUUGACCAUUUUUUAGCAAAAGCAGGAAAGUAGGACCUCUUGUUUAUUUUAUAUGUAAAAAAAAAAGGUAAAAUUGGUGUUGGAAAAUGAUAUUUUGGCAGUUUCUUUCGUUUCAGUGAACUAUCAGCUAGCUAAACUUUAUAAUUUCAUCUGAAAAAAAUGGAAAAGUUCACUAAUGUGACCGUAAAGGCGUAACCUUUGGAAAAUUGAAAUUAAAUAAAAAUAUUAUUGAAGAAUUCUGAAUUCAGAUUUCAGAAUAAUCUUUUUAGUUUAAAAUUUUAAACAUUCAAUUUGUCUGACUCUGAAUUCUGAAAAGUUCACUAGUGUGCCCUUUACCCUUUGAACUUACAAAUUCAAAAUAUUGAAGAAUAUUUCAGAAUUUUGGAAAAUUUCGAAACAAAAAUAAAAAUUAAAAAUUAUUACAAAAUUAAUUUAGUUUUACGAAUGGUUUUACGUCAUUUGUCAUUUUGCAUCUUUUUUGAUGGUGACACUGCUCAGAAAUUUUUUAAUCGACCAAUCAGCAAUCACAAACCGCGCAAUGAAAGAUUUGAAAAGCCUUAUCAGUUCCCUUGAGUUAUCUACUGUACAGUACCUUAUCUACUGGACAGGAAUGCAUGAAUUGAAUGUAAUACAUCAAAUUAUGUACUGCUCCUUAGGUUUCGUUUCAUACAAUUACAUACCUAGUUUAACUGUAAAAUAUGUAUUGAAGGAAAAAUGAACUGAUCUGAUUUAAACAAUAACAGAUUUCACGUUGAAUUACUAAAGCUCGUUUCUACAGUGUUCGGAAAAAAUGGACAUCUCGUACAGUGCUGCGUUGGAAUGGGAUUUCUGCAGUGGAGUGUCUACAUUGCUAGAUAUUACCAUCCGCUCGAUUAUUCAAAAGUCAUGGCGUGAUGCGAUCAUUCAAAGACGUCAAUGUGCAAAAUUGGAUACGUUUUUCGAUAGGAUGUUUGCAAACAUCACGAUUGAUUCAAAGUUUCGAAACAUAAUGAUAUCUUGGAAUGAAACUAAGAUGAAUAAUAGACAGUUCGUGAACUCCACAACAACCUUAACAUCCUUAAAUGAGAAAAUCCGAAUACGAAUGGAGCAGUAUGCUGAUAAACUUACUGAUGAAUUUCUCAAGUGGAAACAUCAUUUUGAUAACAUAAUCCGGGAUGUCAAUGUAGCCUUUCCUGCCUUUCCGAGAUGGUACAGUUUUGACACUUUCUAUUAUUCAGAUGAUUUCAUAUAUGACUCGUAUGGAAGCAUCGACUACACUGAAAUGGCCAAGAAAAUGUUGACGUGCGAUGAAGUAGGAAAAGAAGUGAGAUUCGCUAUCGCUUGUGAAUUUUGUUUCGAGCAUGAAAUCAAAGAGUUAUGGCCUUCAGUAGCAACGAAAUACCUGAUCAACCGUUUAGAUAGAAAAAUAUGGAAUUAUUCGUUGUUAUGGUAUUGGAUUGCUGUAUUAACUAAUCAGCUUCGAAAAGUAUCUCGUUUUGGUAGUAGUCCUCAUGCAAUGUUUAGUAGAUUUGCACACACGAAAUCAGCGCUGGAGUUCUUCUGGAAACGUAUCGCCGCAUUCAAUAACCUGAAUAAGCAAGUCGACCAAGUGCAUUGCAUUGGUAUAUGCUUUCAUGAUUGUGAAUAUCCUGUCGUACCACAAGUAUUGUUGAAAUACUGGCUACCAAGAAUGAGCGAUGAAUUCCUCAAGUCCCUUAUAUCGCUCUAUGGUACGCGUAUGAUGGGGUGCAUGUUGAUAACUUGUCGCGAAUUCGUUUUGCCGUUUUGGCAGCAGACGUGCAACAUGUACAAUAGCGAUCAAUUUGCUAAAUUGUUUGUAGAAUUAGAAUUUAGUGUCAUAGAAGAUACACAUAUCAAAUAUUUAAGUGAACAAAUUUGGAAUAGCGCUCCGAUUGAAUUCAAAAGUCAUGCUUCGAAUUGUAUUGCAGCUAAAAUUGAAACUGAGCGAUUGUCCGAUGAAGGAAAGAAUUCCAGGAUUUCUUUGGGAAUGAUGUAUGCUUUUAAAUUGUGGUAGGUAAACUAUAUCGAUGUACCUACUGACUAAAUACGGUAGUGAUACGAUAUUACAAAUUAGAUUUUUGUACUCCAUAAAAUUAUAACCACCGAUGUAUAUUUUUAAAUUUUAUGUAUUUGGGAAUACAUAUUUUUAAUUAUUUCUUAAACUUUGAUACUUUAAGGAUGGCCGAAUCGUGUCAAUAUUUCUUUCAGAAAAAUAAAAUAUUGUGAUCGAUAUUUUUUCUUGCGUUUCUAUUUCGAUUUCAAAUAUUCGAAAAAAAUUACGUUUGUGCAUAAAAUCACUAUACGAAAAAAUUUGAAACAAAAUCUGUAGAGAAUCAAAACAUCUUUUAUUCCAUUUUUUUCAGCUUCUAAUGCAUAGUGUGUGAUAUACUACUAUGCCGUACGUGGUAUGUAUAGGGCUCGCCCACAUGGUAACACUGCGUUGCACUAAGGCAACACUGCGUUGUAUUCUCGUCAGCUAGCCAUACGAGCCAAGCGACGAGAGUACAGAACGCCAGUAAUGUAUCCGAGUGCACGCGGGUAUGUUAUUCACGGUUAAUGGGUUAAUGCAGUCAUUUAAGUAUAAGUUUUACUCUCGAGUGUUAAGUGUUAGGUUUAGUGCUUUAGUUUUAAUUAGUGUUUAGUAUAUUCAUUUAAUAGACGAGAAGGAGUGAUGAUCUACUCGUCGCCACUCUGGGUAAGUACUUGCACAUAUCAGUGUGAAUAAGUUAGAUCUCCUUGCCAGAGGAGAUCACUUAUCCAAACCUACACCACAGUGUGUAACACCAACGUGUGUAUAUUUAGUUUAAGAAAGUGUCUUGUUAACGUACAUAAAUACAUAGAAUAUGUGAUUAUGUAAAACUUGUAACGUGUUGUUAAUAUUGCACACAUUAAAUAUUAUUCUCGUGUAUAA